ensembl:lncRNA
UUUGUUGUUGCCCUGACUGUGUCAUAGAAAAGAACAAUACCAAACCCCCUCUCCACACUCAUCGGGAUGAAAGAAAGGCAAAAGGAGGGGAGAAUAAAACGAGGGAGGGAGACGUGUUUCAGAGAAAGAGAGAGCAAGAGCAAAACUACAGGGGAAUGGAAAUGGUAAAAUAUUCAUGAGGGAGAGACACAGAGAGAGAGAGAGAGAGAGAGGGCAGAAAGGAAGGAGACAAAGAGUCGGACGUAGUGUACGUAUGUGUGUGAGCGGUUCCUCGAGGAUUCCCCCAAAACCUUCAGGGUCACGAGGAGGCAGGGCCCUGCUCUGUGUUGCAUCAGUCGGUGUUUUUCGUCAUGUCACAGGUCAAACGGGUGAGGAGGACUAAUGGGUUUCACUGCAGCAGCUCCAUGAAGACACAGUAUGUGCCAAAAAGCACGGUUGGCUGGAAAGCAACAGAAACUGCUGCAGGUUUGCACUUGUCCUCUGAGGUCCUACCGUCUGGAUAUUCAAUCUGACUGUGUGUGUGUCUUUGUGUGUGUUAUGCGCGUGAUGUGAUGAAUCAAAUCAAUAGAGCGAGUCAAACGUUCCUGUAUCUCUUGUUCUUCACAGCUCUGUUCUUGUUAAUCCUUUUAAUUAUUGGGAGCAGUGUGACUUUUGUCCCUACUUGUGUCAAAGUAUUUGUUAUUUUCAUGUGUGGAAACAGAGUAGAGGAGCUUAUGAAUGCUAAACUGCAUUACAGUUAAAAGCUGUUAAGAGAACAAACUGUUUAAAGACACAAAAUCCUGCAUACAAAGUCCUUGUGGUCGCGUUGCAUCUUCUGUGUUUAGGGGGAAACAGUAAAACAAGGUCGGAGGACGCUUUGACCGGAAACGUCUGGACCAACAGGCCGAAGAAAGGAACCGAAUCAUCCGUCCAAUGAUAUAUGGAGUUCAUCCAUCAAAUGUUUACACAUCACAUCCAAAAUACAGGACACAUUUUGGGUUAAACAGCUAAUCUGUUGAGCAAAGAAUCCUCUUCUGCUGAGCGGUGCGCCUGCAAGUGUGCAUGCGUGAGAGUGAACGUACGCGGGCCUGCGUGACAUGAAGAUGACAUGAAGUUCCACAGCACGCAUGAAUCCAGCCUUUUCUUUCUCGGAAAAGAGAGCACAAAGCACGGACGUGGACGAGGCAGACUGAGAGACUUAGAAGUGGAAGAGCUUGUUUGACGAUCUCCCACGCUUUCUUCAACAACAACCUCCUUCAGUCAAAAGUCACCUCACCGGUCCCGUCCCCAAACCUCCACCUCUCCACGAGGCGCCCAUGUGACUUGGAAAUAAGGCGCACAUUGUUGGCCGCCUGGUCUGAAGUCGCGAAGGUUGAGCAAUUAUCAGCAAGUGGAAAAAAAGGCAGGCUCAAGUGGAGUCUAGCUGCAGCAUGCGGGUCUGCCGUGCCCUCUGCGCUUGUUUUCACUGUCAUCAUUGGGAACGACGUGAUAGCAUCAAACCCCGGCCUCAGCGAAUUCACUGAAAAACAUCACAACAUCGUCUCUAUGGAGACAAUCAGAGGAGACUGUAAUUGAAAAAGCAAAAAAAAAAAACACAGCAGCAGCAAUUGCCAUACGACAAAGUCUGUGAAAUAAUGUCCGGGGGUCAGACUCAUCCGUCAUCCAGGCAGAGCUGAGAAGACGUGAAACAACAAUGCCAACAACGUCAUUUCACACCUCAACGUUUACACUGCCAGUUACGAACAUCCAACAGCAGGACAAUGAUCUUCAAACGCAUCACAACGCCGUCUCAUUAUUCAAGCUGCUCGUAAGUUUAACCGACAAGCUUCACCGUGACCUCCCGGACAUUCAAACCGACGCCAGCAGUCUAGUGGGACUCAAACCGACCCGUCAUACAGUUACGAGCCCCUUCGGCUCAGACGAGUGCUCACACGCUGGAAAAGUGGCACGGAUUUGCAUCUUAUUUCCAUCCCCGUGUGAUGCCUGCAGAGAGGUGGGAUGGCA